rnacentral:rRNA from 1 species
UACAGAGGGUGCGAGCGUUGUCCGGAAUCACUGGGCGUAAAGAGCUUGUAGGCGGUUUGUCGCGUCUGCUGUGAAAUUUCGGGGCUCAACCCCGAACUUGCAGUGGGUACGGGCAGACUAGAGUGUGGUAGGGGAGACUGGAAUUCCUGGUGUAGCGGUGAAAUGCGCAGAUAUCAGGAGGAACACCGAUGGCGAAGGCAGGUCUCUGGGCCACUACUGACGCUGAGAAGCGAAAGCAUGGGGAGCGAACAGG